rnacentral:lncRNA from 1 species
CCUCGUAUGUACCUUCGAGCUUUCGCCACCUCCCCAUGUCCAACGGAUUCAUCUCGUCGCUGCCCUCAUCCUGGACUCCUCUCCCCUCCAGAUUUUUCCUCUUCGCAUCGUCCCCGUCGAGGAACAGAUGUGCGCUCGUGACCCUCAUCGGUUUCCUCCUCUGUUGCUUGCUGCCCUAGAUCUCCCGAGCACUCGUGCGGCUAUAAAAAGCUCCCCCGAGCUCCUCCACUUCUCAUCGACCCCUCAGCCCCUCCCCAACUCUCUGGAGAUCCCCAGCCCCGCCACUGACGAGAUGACAGCCGCCGUUCCCCAUGGCCAGCGCCUCCUCCAACACUUCCCCUCCCUUUCCUGGUGCCCCAAAGGCCUUGUGGACGCCCUCGAGCUGCCGCCACCCUCCAGUUUUCCCCCGAAGAGGCCCCGCCAUUGCCGCUCCCCAAAGACCUCAGACCGUUGCGGCCACGUCUAGGGCCUCGGUGAUGUGAACCUCCUCGGUCUUCCUCGCGGCUUCCCUUGGGCGAGGGGAGGAGCGGAGGCGCGUCCGCGCACGUCGGCCAGCCUCCUGGCGCGGUGAGGCGAUGUCGGCGUCGGUACCCGAGGCCCUGCCUUGUGCCAUGUCGAGAGGACGAAGAACAAGACAGAAUGACAGAGAGAUGGUGUGGGCCCCGCCUAUCAGCGAGAGAAACCUCCGACCCGCGUUGAGUAACUGGAAGCGCCUUUUCACAAGAUGCUUUUUCUUGUGAGGAAAGCCUAUUCUGGUGUUCUUCGGGUGAAAAUACGCUAUCAUUUGUCUCAAAGUGUAUUCUCCCGAAGGCGCUUUAUGUUUUAUCUGGGAGGGACUUAUUUGUGGAUAUUCUUGUUACACACGAGUCCCUAGCUUUCAAAUAGUCAUAUCUUCGCGCUCGUAACCCCUUUUCAGGUGAUUGCAAAGCCCUCGCUUUCGUCUCGUUGAGCCCAUUCUGCUGGUAUCAUUUUCACUAUGUUUUCACACUUUGAAAAUGACCAUUUUGCCAUUGCCUCUAAUAAGCCCCCUUCGAGAGAGAAGUAUUUCCGGCGAUUCGUUCCGCGAGUUUCUCGCACUUCUCCCCUGUGAAUCCAUCAUCCCCAAGCAAGCCACGACAACCACUUGAAUGAUGGCCAUACAGUAGACAUAGUUUCCAUUGAAUAUUUAAGAAUUGUUUACUCGAUUACUCUUGUUAUUCCUAUUUCAAUUAUGCAUGUGGAUCCAAGAUUAUCAUCAUGUUGUGCUCUUAUACAC